rnacentral:lncRNA from 1 species
AAAAAAAAAACAAAGGGGGGAAAAACAACGGCGACAAGAACAGCGACAAAAAUGACCACAAAAAUGACCACAAAAAUGACCACAAAAAUGACCACAAAAAUGAUCACAAAAACAACGACGACAGUAAUAAAAAUAUUCCAAACUAUUAUGCAUAUUUAAAAAAUAAAAAACAAGUAAAAAAGUUACAAAACAAAAAUGUAUAUUUAGAAAUUAUACGUAAUCUAAAAUUAAAUGAUAUAAAAUAUAUUUACAAUGGUACAUUAAAUAUAUUAAUAAGUUAUAAAUUAUAUUUUGAAGAUUAUAAUGAAAGUAUAUUUUUAUUGAUAAUUAUUUAUGUUUAUUAUGGAAUAUUAUGAACAACAAUAAAUUAUUUGUUAAAUAUAUGAAUAAUAGAAAUAGUUGUACAUUUAUAUUUUAUAUUUUAUAUAUAUUAAUAUGUUAUAAUAAUAAUAGAAAAAAGGAAACAAAGAGAUUGGCUGAUUUAAGAAAAUUUGACAAUUCGUUAGGUGGUAAUUUUUUUAUUACAAAAAGUAUGAGUAAUAAUUUUUCUAGAAGUACUAGUAAUAUUUCUAAUAAUAAUUUAGAUCAAAUUAGUGGUAAUAGUACUAUCACUAUUUCUACAACUACUCAAAAUAUAAAUUACUCAAAUGAGAAAAAAGAAAUAGACCAAUCGGCUGAACCCAGUACAAUAUACGAAUCAAACAAACCAAACAAACCAGAUAAACCAAACAAACCAGAUGAACCAAACAAACCAAACGAAUCAAACAAACCAAACGAAUCAAACAAANNNNNNNNNNACAAACCAAACGAAUCAAACAAACCAAACAAACCAAACAAACCAAACGAAUCAAACAAACCAAACGAACCAAACAAACCAAACGAACCAACAGUUUUAGAAGAAGAAGCUGAACGAUUUCUUUAUGACAACAAAUAUUUCAAUGAAUCAAACAAGUGCCACGAAUUUACCCUUCGUAAAAUAGAUGGCUUAAUAUAUAUUUGUUUAUUUAUAAUAUUAAAAUUAUCAUCUAAUGCUGAAACAUGUGAAAAAUUGAAUAAAAAAUUUAACCAAAAAAUAAAAAGCAAUUUUUUUAUAAAAAAUGUACCAACAUUUAAUACAUAUAUAGAUUUUUUAAUAUAUGCAUUAUAUAUGUUAAUUAAUGACAAUAUAUUUUUUUUAAAAUUUGAACAAAUUGUAGAUAUGUCUAUAACUAUACUUACUAAUAUAAGUAUACAUAUUAAAUCAAUGAAUACAUACUCAUGUGAAUGUAUAAUAAAUAUAUUCAAAAAAAUUUUAAAAAAAGAAUGGGUACUUUCAUCACAAAAUCAUUAUUACUCAUUGUUUCUUUUAUUAGAUUUUAUAAAUAAUAUAUUAUCAUAUAAUUUAAGUGCUAAUUAUAAUUUAGUAUAUAUGAUUAUAAAAAAUAAAGAAGUUUUUCAAUCAAUUCAUAAAUUGGAUGACGUAUUAAAAAACGAUUACUUGUUCAGUAUUAAUACUUUUGACCACUGGGUACCUACAGAAAGUUGGCUAGUCAAUUGGAAAAAUAAAUUACCCCUUCAAUUUAUUAACAGUAUAAUAUAUGACUUGGCAAUUUUGAUUGAAGAAGAAUGUGACGAAAAAGAAAUAUUAGAUUAUAACGACGUUGUAAAUUUAGUGAAAAGUCAUUGUUUAAAAAUAAAAAAUAAAAAAAUUCCUUUUAUAAUAAGAAAAUAUACAAAAAAUAUCCUCUUGUCGAAAUGGAUUACAACGUAUAUAUAUUUUCUUUUGUUCGCUAACAUGUACAAACAAAACAUUUUUAUAAAUAAUCAAAUUAAGUUUAUUUUUUAGUUAUGAUAAUGAUACUACAUAUGAUAAAAAAAAAAAAAAAAAAAAAAAAAAAAUCCACACACACACACACACGUGUGUAAUACAUAUAUGUAUAUAGUUAAAUCAUAUUUUUGAUUUUUUUUUUUUCAUUUUUUUUUUCAUUUUUUUUUUCAUUUUUUUUUUCAUUUUUUUUUUCAUUUUUUUAAAUUUUGUUUAUUGUGCAAAUUUUUCUUUUGCUGCUUCAAUAACUUGCGAAGCAUUGCAAAUAAACUUUUUUUAAUACAAAAAAAAAAAAAAAAA